UACGAAGGGGGCUAGCGUUGCUCGGAAUCACUGGGCGUAAAGGGUGCGUAGGCGGGUCUUUAAGUCAGGGGUGAAAUCCUGGAGCUCAACUCCAGAACUGCCUCUGAUACUGGAGAGCUAGAGUCCGGAAGAGGUGAGUGGAACUGCGAGUGUAGAGGUGAAAUUCGUAGAUAUUCGCAAGAACACCAGUGGCGAAGGCGGCUCACUGGUCCGGUACUGACGCUGAGGCGCGAAAGCGUGGGGAGCAAACAGG
rnacentral:rRNA from 1 species